UCCUCUCUCGGGUGUGAGCGAUGACUUAGGAGUUGUCUUUCUUCAGAACAAAAACACUGUUCCUAACUGCAUUAUUCAUGACUCAGCAAAGCAAUGGCAUGACUGCAUGACGAGGAUGUAAGACCCCGGCAUCUCAAGGAGGGGCACAGAGAGUAAAAUCCUGCUGAGCCUGACGUUUCUGAAGAUGCUUCCCGAAGGCUUGGACCAGACACCAUGGAACCAUACUCUCUCCUCCUGAAGGUGGAAAUCUUCACACUGGUGAAUCACAAGAUAAACCCCAUGAGCAUGUUGACUGCUGUGGGGAGGUGGACGCCAAGACCAGCGCAUUCCCUCGGCGUUCCGACCAGGAGGGAUGUGGGUCCCUGCUGUUCCCAUGGGCAUUGGCUGCAGACUUUUACUCUUGGAGAGCAGAGGACAUCAAGGCUUGUUGGGACCUCAGGUUAUGCAGAAGGUUUCAGCUCCCAGUUACCAUCCUGGGAAACACACGUAUGUGAUGGAAAAUUCAAAAUGGACAAAAAGGGUUCCUGGAAGCGCGAGGCCCCAGCCUGCCGGCCCUCGCUCCAGAACAAUGGCUGGGUUGGCUGCUCUGCCCCCAGACGUCUCCAUGUUGCCCCAUCCGUCCCCCCUGGCCUCCUUCAGGGAGCGUGCAGGUACUCCCCUGGCGAGAAAGACGCUGCUGUCACAACCCGCUUCCUCCCGGGGGGCCGUGAGCUGCACUCCCUGCUCGACGCUUGGCCGGUUCACGUAAGGAACUUGCUUGGGCGUCUCGGCUUUACAACCUGUCUUAAUAUGGCAGAGUCGGUCCCGUCUUGUUGCCAUUUUUAUAUGCCCUCCGUUUGUUGAGGAUGUUUCUGCUAUGUAUAAAAUUCCGGGCUUGCAGGUUUCGUUUCUUUGCUCGUGGGUUUUGUGGCCAGCUCCGUGGAAGGUCGUGCUCGUGGGUUUUGUGGCCAGCUCCGUGGAAGGCCGUGCUCGUGGGUUUUGUGGCCAGCUCCGUGGAAGGCCCUGCUCCUUUGCAAAGGUGGCUAGCGGUCCAGUCAUUACUCCCCAGGAUAAUGCAUCUUUUUUCUUUGGUUGCUUUUGAGAUUUUGCUCUUGACAUUGGUUUUCAGGACUUGGCUGUGAGCUCGCUGGGUGUGAGGGUCCUUAUGGAUGCCUCCUGCUAGGGCCUCACCAGCAUUCACGGGCUUCACAUCAUUUGUUGAUUUUGAGAGAUUCGUGGGCUUCAAUUUCUCGAGUCUCUCUCCUGCCAAUUCCUUAUCCUCUCCUGAGUUGGGGCUCCAUUUACAAGGGUUUCAGUCCUGUGACGAUCGUCCUGCCCUUCCCACCGCACCCCCGCUGUGCUGGACAAGAUCGGCCCCCUUGCCCCCACGAGGGGCCCCUUGUUCCUUAGUGCUGACGGUUCUCACAAACGAUGAAUUUAUAGCUCCGCGGGGGGAUGCCUCUCCUUGGCAGCUAUUCUCCAGUGCUCAAAUGCAAAA